rnacentral:rRNA from 1 species
UACGAAGGGGGCUAGCGUUGUUCGGAAUCACUAGGCGUAAAGCGCACGCAGGCGGAUUGAUAAGUCAGGGGUGAAAUCCCGGAGCUCAACUUCGGAAUUGCCUUUGAUACUGUCUAUCUUCGAGUUCGGGAGAGGUUGGCGGAAUUCCUAGUGUAGAGGUGAAAUUCGUAGAUAUUAGGAAGAACACCAGUGGCGAAGGCGGCCAACUGGCCCGAUACUGACGCUCAUGUGCGAAAGCGUGGGGAGCAAACAGG